rnacentral:rRNA from 1 species
GCACCACAAGAACGCGUGGAGCAUGUGGCUUAAUUUGACUCAACGCGGGAAAUCUUACCGGGUCCGGACACACUGAGGAUUGACAGGCAAUAUCUCAUGGUUAUUAACCCGGUUAUUACAUUUUGUUUAAUCGGUUAUUAAGCAUCGAGUGUUAAAUAUGCUAGUCCUUUCAUGAUUAUGUGAUAGGUGGUGCAUGGCCGUUCUUAGUUCGUGGAGUGAUCUGUCUGCUUAAUUGCGUUUCACUAAGGGCCCAUAAAUUCAA